GGGGGAUUGGGACAAAAUGUGUAUGACCCUGAACUGUGAAAGAGCUGUCAGAAUUUUGUUUCACCUGUUGUGAUUUGAGACCAAAUGUUAAUGUUACUGUUUAUGUCUUACUACUCUGCCACAAACAAAAAUGCUGCACACAAAGACAAACACCCAUACAGGCCCUAGAGCCACCACACACCGAGGUGGGGAAAACAAACACACUCCCACUGAGUUAUCACUGAGGAGCCGCACAGGGAUGUCACGG